GACGAACGCUGGCGGCGUGCUUAACACAUGCAAGUCGAACGGAAAGGCCCUGCUUUUGUGGGGUGCUCGAGUGGCGAACGGGUGAGUAACACGUGAGUCACCUGCCCUUGACUGUGGGAUAUCUUCAGGAAACUGGGGCUAAUACCGGAUAGGAGCUCCUGCUGCAUGGUGGGGGUUGGACAGUUUCGGCGGUUGGGGAUGUACUCGGGGCUUAUCAGCUUGUUGGUGGGGUGGUGGCUUACCAAGGCUUUGACGGGUAGCCGGCCUGAGAGGGUGGACGGCGACAUUGGGACUGAGGGACGGCCCAGACUGGAACGGGAGGCAGCGGUGGGGAGUAUUGCACAAUGGGCGGAAGCCUGAGGCAGCAACGCCGCGUGCGGGAAGACGGUCUUCGGGUGGGAAACCGCUUUCGCCUGUGACGAAGCGUGAGUGACGGUAACGGGUAAAGAAGCACCGGCUAACUACGUG
rnacentral:rRNA from 1 species